rnacentral:misc_RNA from 1 species
CGCGUUGACGUGUGAGUGGCCGUUUGAUUGUUUGUGUUGGCUGGCUCCCUGCUCGUGCAGCGAACUGUCGAUGCUACAUCUUUUCAGUCCCGAAGGAGGCGCWAUCUGCGCCUGCGAAUGUUGGAUUCUUGUGUUGCCUACCCAAUYGAAGGUAUUCUUCGUGUCC